GUCUCUUCGGAGACAUCCGUUAAAAUUGUGAACAUACAUUUAAGGAUUAGGCAUGGCUCUUGCACAAGGAUGACACAUGGUCCAAAUUGUAUACCAUACUUAC
rnacentral:snRNA from 1 species